UUUUUUUUUUUUUUUUUUUUUUUUUUUUUUUCCAAU
rnacentral:ribozyme from 13 species